rnacentral:rRNA from 1 species
UGAAUUUCGGGGUCAGUGCGCCGGUCAUGCCUAUGGUAUGUACUCGCUCACAGGCCGUUACCUUCUUGAAGAGCCGUAAUGCCAUUAAUUUGGUGUUGCGGGGAAUCAGGACUGUUACUUUGAAAAAAUUAGAGUGUUUAAAGCAGGCAAUCGCUUGAAUACAUUAGCAUGGAAUAAUGAAAUAGGACGUUCGAUCCUAUUUUGUUGGUUUCUAGGAUUGACGUAAUGAUUAAUAGGGAUAGUUGGGGGCAUUAGUAUUCAAUUGUCAGAGGUGAAAUUCUUGGAUUUAUUGAAGACUAACUACUGCGAAAGCAUUUGCCAAGGAUGUUUUCAUUAAUCAAGAACGAAAGUUAGGGGAUCGAAGACGAUCAGAUACC